rnacentral:tRNA from 1 species
GCCCGGGUGGCGGAACUGGCAGACGCNNGGUAACCCCCGUACGAGUUCAAGUCUCGUCCCGGGCACCA